UACGGAGGGGACUAGCGUUGUUCGGAAUUACUGGGCGUAAAGCGCACGUAGGCGGAUUUGUAAGUCAGGGGUGAAAUCCCGGGGCUCAACCUCGGAACUGCCUUUGAUACUGAGAAGCUUGAGUCCGGGAGAGGUGAGUGGAACUGCGAGUGUAGAGGUGAAAUUCGUAGAUAUUCGCAAGAACACCAGUGGCGAAGGCGGCUCACUGGCCCGGUACUGACGCUGAGGUGCGAAAGCGUGGGGAGCAAACAGG
rnacentral:rRNA from 1 species